AUGUCCUUUUUCUUCACUCUCACUUUCCUUUCUCUGAGUGUCCUCGUUCUUUUUUCCUCAACCUUUGAAACUGAUAGAGGUCUAGGGGUGCAUCGUGGAGCAGGGCCCUCCUCUUUUUGACCACAGGACGGUGUACAAAGAUUGUGGGAAUAGCAUCUGGUCUCAGCCUACUCUUGAAUUUUUUGGUCAUGACAAAUUGCAUUGCCGCAAUUUGUCUGCAUACUGACUUCAGUUUAGUUUCCACACACACCUUUUUUUUGUCUAC
rnacentral:lncRNA from 1 species